rnacentral:rRNA from 1 species
UUCCGGUUGAUCCUGCCGGAGGCCAUCGCUAUCGGGGUCCGACUUAGCCAUGCUAGUCGCACGGGUUCAGACCCGUGGCGAACAGCUCAGUAACACGUGGCCAAACUACCCUAUGGACGUGGACACCCUCGGGAAACUGAGGCUAAUCCACGAUACGGCUCUCACGCUGGAAUGCGGGGAGCCGGAAAGGCUCCGGCGCCAUAGGAUGUGGCUGCGGCCGAUUAGGUAGACGGUGGGGUAACGGCCCACCGUGCCUAUAAUCGGUACGGGAUGUGAGAGCAAAUAGCCCGGAGAUGGAAUCUGAGACAAGAUUCCAGGCCCUACGGGGCGCAGCAGGCGCGAAACCUUUACACUGCACGCAAGUGCGAUAAGGGGACCCCGAGUGCGAGGGCAUACAGUCCUCGCUUUUGUACACCGUAAGGAGGUGUACGAAUAAGGGCUGGGCAAGACCGGUGCCAGCCGCCGCGGUAAUACCGGCAGCCCGAGUGAUGGCCGCUGUUAUUGGGCCUAAAGCGUCCGUAGCCGGCCGCACAAGUCCGUCGGGAAAUCCGCACGCUCAACGUGCGGGCGUCCGGCGGAAACUGUGCGGCUUGGGGCCGGAAGAUCCGAGGGGUACGUCUGGGGUAGGAGUGAAAUCCCGUAAUCCUGGACGGACCGCCGGUGGCGAAAGCGCCUCGGAAAGACGGACCCGACGGUGAGGGACGAAAGCUAGGGUCUCGAACCGGAUUAGAUACCCGGGUAGUCCUAGCCGUAAACGAUGCUCGCUAGGUGUGGCACAGGCUACGAGCCUGUGCUGUGCCGUAGGGAAGCCGUGAAGCGAGCCGCCUGGGAAGUACGUCCGCAAGGAUGAAACUUAAAGGAAUUGGCGGGGGAGCACUACAACCGGAGGAGCCUGCGGUUCAAUUGGAUUCAACGCCGGG